AUUACAUUUUUUGAGAAAAUUAUGAUUAUUUUUUUAUUUUUUUUUUUCCUAAAAGUUGAGAUUUUAGAAAAAACAUAAGUUUCGAUAAAAAAUUUUCAAUUUCUUUUUUAAAUGUUUGAAACCAAUAAGUCUCGGUUCCACUGUCUCGCUUCCACUUGCUUGCUAUUUAAAAGAUUUCAAUGAUUUGACAGCUUUUCUUUGUUUCCAUAUAACUUGCUUUUAAAAAUAAAAUAUAUAUAUAAAAAAAAAACAAUCUAGAAUUUGCUACGUUUAGUAUUUUAAAAACUCCUAAAAUAUUAAUUUAAACAAUUUCUUUUUUCAUUUUAAAUUUCUUUCAACAGCUGCGUAAAACAUGUCGUUUUAAUGCUCGCAAGAAAUUCCAAUUUGCCAUAUUAGUGGUAAGAGCUGUUAUACGUAUACGAAGACUACGUUAUACCGCUGAACCCUUGCACUGUGAAGAGGCUAUACGGGAUCCUUAUAGAGUUAAAGUGUUGCGUAAAGUUAUUGAUGGCUGUGCCUUUAGAGUUUAUGGCCAUUGGGUUAAAAAGGGUGAAGGACAAAAUCGUGCCGCCCUAUUCGAAAAUACACCGCGUACUGAAUUACAUGCUUUGUAUAUUAACAAUUUAAGUCGAUAGUUAGUUUUUCCUAAUUAGAACUACAUAUAAUUUUAUAUUAAUUUAAUUAUAUUUUAAUUUAGUUUUCUUUAACAUAAAAUAACCUAAGACAAUUAUACACAAUCCCCGCCCUCAUUUUCUCACCAAAAUUACUCAUUUUAUUUUACCAAAUCUUUGUUAUUUUAAAAACAAAAUAUCUCCUUUUACUUCGUUAUAUAUAUCUUUAUUUUUUAAUUUAUAAGACUUUAAACAUCGUAAUGAAUACAAUGAAAAUAAGAAAGUAAAUAAAUCGUUAAAUUAAUAUUAAUUAUAAAUAAGUCCUGUAACUAAUACUACACAGCCCCCACACAACCCCCUUAUUAUUGAACAAAUUCGUAUUGUUAUUAAGUAAAUGUUGCUUUAUUACUAUUUUUAUUCUUUGCGCUGUUUUUAUCUUAAGUUUCGAAAACUAUAUAGGUAUUUUAAACUUUUCGUUUUUAGUAGUUUUUCAUUUAAGAGUUUUGAAUCAUAUCAAAAUUAUAAUAAGUCCUUUUUAAACUAAUUAACUUUUAUUAUUAUUAUUAUUUUUUGUUGAAAAUUUUGUUAUUUUUUAAGUUGAAAACAAAAAAAUAUGUUAGAAAAUAAAGUCCCAAUUAAGAAAAAUUUAUUUAUUAAUAUAACAAAAUAAAGAUUUCUUUGUUGAUAAAACACUAAAAAGCAAAA